AGCGCUCAAAACAUACACCUUUAUACAUAAGUUCCAACCCAUAUACCACUGUCUACGGAUCCUCUAAGAGAAAGAUAGUACAACACUUGCCGGUGACAAAGCCCAAGCUAUACCUUUACAAAAGGAUACAAGACUCCAAAAUACAACAAUAUAGGUGACAUGAGCCAAACAAGGCCCCAGAAGGAAAGGGGCUCACCAACACGAAUAUCGUCGAUAGAGAGGAGGAGGAGAUACGAACGGUGGGCUGGAGUGCUUG
rnacentral:lncRNA from 1 species